rnacentral:misc_RNA from 1 species
GAUGAGAACGCAGCGAAAUGCGAUACGUAAUGUGAAUUGCAAAUUCAGUGAAUCAUCGAGUCUUUGAACGCACAUUGCGCCCCCUGGUAUUCCGGGGGGCAUGCCUGUCCGAGCGUCAUUGCUGCCCUCAAGCACGGCUUGUGUGUUGGGCCCCGUCCUCCGAUCCCGGGGGACGGGCCCGAAAGGCAGCGGCGGCACCGCGUCCGGUCCUCGAGCGUAUGGGGCUUUGUCACCCGCUCUGUAGGCCCGGCCGGCGCUUGCCGAUCAACCCAAAUUUUUAUCCAGGUUGACCUCGGAUCAGGUAGGGAUACCCGCUGAACUUAAGCAUAUCAAUAAGCGGAGGA